rnacentral:lncRNA from 1 species
AGGGCAGAUGAUGGCAGGAUUAGCUUGGGGUGUAUGUGCGUGGGUGGGAGCAGAGGAAGAGACAGACAGUGCUAGAACUUGAGAAUCCCUCCUGAUUGCAUAAAAACCCUCCUCCUAAGGGGGAGGCAAUGCGGGAUGAAUUCUUUAAAAAAAUCAUGUUAUGUUCCUAUGUAAAUACGCCAGUGGGAAUUUCACCUUUAUGGAUAAAAAAAAAAAAGAACCAACUCCAGGUGAUUUUGGAUCUAUCCAAAGAUAAAUAGAUGACUGAAAGGAAGUCUAGCAGAGCAGAGAAAGGAAAAUGGGGAAAGCAAGAGAGGAAGGGAGGGGAAAAGGAGGAAUUGUGAACUGAAAUCGAAUUCAUGCAUGUGCGAUUUCAUCAGCUUACUCUGUAUAACUAUAAUGCUCUAAUAAAAAAUUUUAAGAAAGAAACCCAAACUAAAGACAAAACCAGACCAAACAAAACCAAACUAACAAAAAAACUCAUCUUAAUGUGUGGGGCCUGUCUUCCUUGUUGACUCCCCUGUCUUUGCCCCAUUUUGAGGAAGGUGUUAGGCCAGCAUAUGUUAAAAUCUCAGUAACUGCCUCUGGUAUUCCCAUCUUUGGGAACACAGAUUUAGUUAUUUCAAAAUGUGCUUAAGUUUGGAGCAAGAGGAAUUGGCAGAUGGAGAAAUGUAAUAUCCAGUUUGGAAGCAUGUUGC